rnacentral:lncRNA from 1 species
GAGGUCGGAUCAAGGAUGAUGGUGCACCGCGGCAUGUGGUGGCCUAUUUUUUUUGUAGUGGUACUGUAUAUGGUCUCAUCCAACAUUGAGUAUCCAUAUGUUGUUUUAAUACUGAUGAUAAUGUUGUAACAUAAAGUAGACACCAUAUCUGGUUUGUCUUGAUGUUUUAACUAUGGUGGUUCUUGUCUGAUGCACAUUAUUCUUUGCAGGGUUAUGAUGAUAGAAAUAUAUUGACCCUGAUGUGACAAAGGUGCCCAUUUUCCCUUUGUUAAACAUUUUCAC